GAAACCAACAGGGAUUGCCCCAGUAACGGCGAGUGAAGCGGCAACAGCUCAAAUUUGAAAUCUGGCCCCGGCCCGAGUUGUAAUUUGCAGAGGACGCUUCUGGCGCGGUGCCUCCCGAGUCCCCUGGAACGGGGCGCCACAGAGGGUGAGAGCCCCGUAUGGCAGGACACCUAGCCUGUGUGAAGCUCCUUCGACGAGUCGAGUAGUUUGGGAAUGCUGCUCAAAAUGGGAGGUAAAUUCCUUCUAAAGCUAAAUACCGGCCAGAGACCGAUAGCGCACAAGUAGAGUGAUCGAAAGAUGAAAAGCACUUUGAAAAGAGGGUUAAACAGCACGUGAAAUUGUUGAAAGGGAAGCGCUCGUGACCAGACUUGCGCGGGGCCGAUCAUCCGGUGUUCUCACCGGUGCACUCGGCCCGGCUCAGGCCAGCAUCGGUUCUCGCGGGGGGACAAAAGCGCCGGGAACGUGGCUCCUCCGGGAGUGUUAUAGCCCGGCGCACAAUGCCCUCGCGGGGACCGAGGCCUGCGCACUCGCAAGGAUGCUGUCGUAAUGGUAACCGGCGACCCGUCUUGAAACACGGACCAAGAAGUCAAGGUUUUGCGCGAGUGUUUGGGUGUCAACCCCGCACGCGUAAUGAAAGUGAACGUAGGUGAGAGCCUCGGCGCAUCAUCGACCGAUCCUGAUGUUCUCGGAUGGAUUUGAGUAAGAGCGUAAUGCCUUGGACCCGAAAGAUGGUGAACUAUGCCUGGAUAGGGUGAAGCCAGAGGAAACUCUGGUGGAGGCUCGCAGCGGUUCUGACGUGCAAAUCGAUCGUCAAAUCAGGGCAUGGGGGCGAAAGACUAAUCGAACCAUCUAGU
rnacentral:rRNA from 1 species